GAUGAACGCUGGCGGCGUGCCUAAUACAUGCAAGUCGAACGAGGUGCUUUUGUAGCAAUACGAGAGUAUCCUAGUGGCGAACGGGUGAGUAACGCGUUGGUGACCUACCCCAAAGUGUGGGAUAACAGUCCGAAAGGAUUGCUAAUACCGCAUGUGGUCUUCGGAUUUAGAAACUGAUGACUAAAGGAGCAAUUCGCUUUGGGAGGGACCUGCGUCCCAUCAGCUAGUUGGUGAGGUAAUGGCUCACCAAGGCUACGACGGGUAGGGGACCUGAGAGGGUGACCCCCCACAAUGGAACUGAAACACGGUCCAUACACCUACGGGUGGCAGCAGUAGGGAAUAUUGCACAAUGGCGAAAGCCUGAUGCAGCAACGCCGCGUGUGCGAUGAAGGCCUCGGUCGUAAGCACUUUCUUGGGAGAGUGAGCAAGGACAGUAUCUCAGGAAUAAGUACUCGGCUAACUACGUGCCAGCAG
rnacentral:rRNA from 1 species